UACGUAGGCAGCAAGCGUUGUUCGGAGUUACUGGGCGUAAAGGGUGCGUAGGCGGCUCUGUAAGUGUGGUGUGAAAUCUCCCGGCUUAACUGGGAGGGUGCGCUACAGACUGCAGGGCUAGAGUGUGGGAGAGGAAAGUGGAAUUCCUGGUGUAGCGGUGAAAUGCGUAGAUAUCAGGAGGAACACCGGUGGUGUAAACGGCUUUCUAGACCAUAACUGACGCUGAGGCACGAAAGCGUGGGUAGCAAACAGG
rnacentral:rRNA from 1 species